GCUGGCAUAGCUCAGUUGGCAGAGCGGCCCACGUAAUUGCUGACCGGGAUCGUCGCGCCCGGGCGUGGGCAGGCGCGGGUUCGAGGCCCGCUGCCGGCU
rnacentral:tRNA from 1 species